GUGAGUCAUCGAAUCUUUGAACGCACCUUGCGCUCCUUGGUAUUCCGAGGAGCAUGCCCGUUUGAGUGUCUUGAUAUCAUCAAACGCCCCUGCCUUUUCCGGUGGGUCGGCGAUUUGGACUUGGACGUGCUGCUGGGCGCUCUGCGCUCGGCUCGUCUUGAAUGCAUUAGCUGGAUCUCCCUCCGGCCUCGGACCUUAUGGCGUGAUAAGAUCACCCGUCGAGCAGUCCUUGGUCAACAUUGGGUUCCGCUUCCAACCCGUCCCCCGCGGACAACACCGAAACCUGGUUUUCGACAUCUGACCUCAAAUCGGGUAGGACUACCCGCUGAACUUAA
rnacentral:rRNA from 1 species